AGGGUGUAAACGCUGCAGACUUGGUGUUGGAAGUCCUUUGGGGGCAUUCAGUGCCGGAGAGAAGUUGUUAAGUCUGCUACUUGGGGAGUACGUCCGCAAGGAUGAAACUUAAAGGAAUUGGCGGGGGAGCACCGCAACGGGAGGAGCGUGCGGUUUAAUUGGAUUCAACACCGUAAACUCACCAGGGAAGACUGUUACAUGAAGGCCGAGAUGAAGACUCUGCUAGAUUUUCAGAGAGGUGGUGCAUGGCGUCAGUGACU
rnacentral:rRNA from 1 species